rnacentral:rRNA from 1 species
UGGGGAAUAUUGCACAAUGGGGGAAACCCUGAUGCAGCGACGCCGCGUGAGUGAAGAAGUAUUUCGGUAUGUAAGCUCUAUCAGCAGGGAAGAUGAUGACGGUACCUGAGUAAGAAGCCCCGGCUAACUACGUGCC